rnacentral:rRNA from 1 species
UACGUAGGCAGCGAGCGUUGUUCGGAGUUACUGGGCGUAAAGAGUAUGUAGGCGGUUGCGCAAGUUUGGUGUGAAAUCUCCCGGCUUAACUGGGAGGGUGCGCCGAAAACUGCGCGGCUAGAGUGCGGGAGAGGAGAGCUGAAUUCCUGGUGUAGCGGUGAAAUGCGUAGAUAUGUGGAGGAACACCGAUGGCGAAGGCAGCCCCCUGGGAUGUGACUGACGCUCAUGUACGAAAGCGUGGGGAGCAAACAGG